rnacentral:rRNA from 1 species
UUAGAGUUUGAUCCUGGCUCAGGAUGAACUCUAGCGGCAGGCUUAACACAUGCAAGUCGAGGGGCAGCAUGAGACGGAGAUUCGUCGAAGUCUUGAUGGCGACCGGCGCAAGGGUGCGUAACGCGUGAGCAACUUGCCCGUUUCAGGGGGAUAACCGGUGGAAACGCCGACUAAUACCCCAUGGCAUCGGCAUGAGGCAUCUCAUGUUGAUUAAAGAGUUUCGGAAACGGAUAGGCUCGCGUGACAUUAGAUGGAUGGCGGGGUAACGGCCCACCAUGUCGACGAUGUCUAGGGGUUCUGAGAGGAAGGUCCCCCACACUGGAACUGAGACACGGUCCAGACUCCUACGGGAGGCAGCAGUGAGGAAUAUUGGUCAAUGGUCUGACGACUGAACCAGCCAUGCCGCGUGAAGGUGACGGCCCUAUGGGUCUUAAACUUCUUUUGCGAGGGAGCAAUAAGGGCCACGUGUGACCCGAUGAGAGUACCUCGCGAAUAAGCAUCGGCUAACUCCGUGCCAGCAGCCGCGGUAAUACGGGGGAUGCGAGCGUUAUCCGGAUUUAUUGGGUUUAAAGGGUGCGUAGGCGGUCUGUUAAGUCAGCGGUGAAAUUUAGGGGCUCAACCUCUACCGUGCCGUUGAUACUGGCGGGCUGGAAUGCGGAUGCCGUGGGAGGAAUGUGUGGUGUAGCGGUGAAAUGCAUAGAUAUCACACAGAACACCGAUUGCGAAGGCAUCUCACGAAUCCGCAAUUGACGCUGAUGCACGAAAGCGUGGGGAUCAAACAGGAUUAGAUACCCUGGUAGUCCACGCUGUAAACGAUGAUGACUAUCCGGUCGGGUUACUCAGUUCGUGGCCAAGCGAAAAGCGGAUAAGUCAUCCUCCUGGGGAGUACGGCCGCAAGGUUGAAACUCAAAGGAAUUGAGGGGGGCCCGCACAAGCGGAGGAACAUGUGGGUUUAAUUUGAAGCAACGCGAAGAACCUUACCAGGUCUUGACAUCGAUGUAAUCCCGUAGAGAUACGGAGUGUCUUCGGACAACAGAAGACAGGUGGUGCAUGGUUGUCGUCAGCUCGUGUCGUGAGAUGUUGGGUUAAGUCCCGCAACGAGCGCAACCCCUAUGGUCAGUUACUAACGUGUAAUGGCGAGGACUCUGACAAGACUGCCGGGGACAACUCGGAGGAAGGUGGGGACGACGUCAAAUCAUCAUGCCCCUUAUGACCAGGGCUACAAACGUGCUACAAUGGUGGUUACAAAGAGAAGCGAGCGUGCGAGCGUAAGCGGAUCUCAAAAAAGCCAUCUCAGUUCGGAUUGUGGGCUGCAACCCGCCCACAUGAAGUUGGAGUUGCUAGUAAUCGCGGAUCAGCAUGCCGCGGUGAAUACGUUCCCGGGCCUUGCACUCACCGCCCGUCAAG